AGAGUUUGAUCCUGGCUCAGGAUGAACGCUGGUGGCGUGCCUAACACAUGCAAGUCGAGCGAUCUUCUUCGGAAGAGAGCGGCGGACGGGUGAGUAACGCGUGGGUAACCUGCCUCAUACACAUGGAUAACAUACCGAAAGGUAUGCUAAUACAAGAUGAUAUAAGAGAUUCGCAUGGAUUUUUUAUCAAAGCUCCGGCGGUAUGAGAUGGACCCGCGUCUGAUUAGCUAGUUGGUAAGGUAACGGCUUACCAAGGCGAUGAUCAGUAGCCGACCUGAGAGGGUGAUCGGCCACAUUGGAACUGAGACACGGUCCAAACUCCUACGGGAGGCAGCAGUGGGGAAUAUUGCACAAUGGGCGAAAGCUUGAUGCAGCAACGCCGCGUGAGCGAUGAAGGCCUUCGGGUCGUAAAGCUCUGUCCUCAAGGAAGAUAAUGACGGUACUUGAGGAGGAAGCCCCGGCUAACUACGUGCCAGCAGCCGCGGUAAUACGUAGGGGGCUAGCGUUAUCCGGAUUUACUGGGCGUAAAGGGUGCGUAGGUGGUUUCUUAAGUCAGGAGUGAAAGGCUACGGCUCAACCGUAGUAAGCUCUUGAAACUGGGAAACUUGAGUGCAGGAGAGGAAAGUGGAAUUCCUAGUGUAGCGGUGAAAUGCGUAGAUAUUAGGAGGAACACCAGUAGCGAAGGCGGCUUUCUGGACUGUAACUGACACUGAGGCACGAAAGCGUGGGGAGCAAACAGGAUUAGAUACCCUGGUAGUCCACGCCGUAAACGAUGAGUACUAGGUGUCGGGGGUUACCCCCCUCGGUGCCGCAGCUAACGCAUUAAGUACUCCGCCUGGGGAGUACGCUCGCAAGAGUGAAACUCAAAGGAAUUGACGG
rnacentral:rRNA from 1 species